UAGGGAAUCUUCCACAAUGGACGAAAGUCUGAUGGAGCAACGCCGCGUGAGUGAAGAAGGGUUUCGGCUCGUAAAACUCUGUUGUUAAAGAAGAACAUAUCUGUAGAGUAACUGUUCAGGUAUUGACGGUAUUUAACCAGAAAGCCACGGCUAACUACGUGCCAC
rnacentral:rRNA from 1 species